rnacentral:rRNA from 1 species
UCUGUUUGAUCCCGGCGGAGGUUACUGCUAUCGAGGUCCGACUAAGCCAUGCGAGUCGAAUGUAGCAAUACAUGGCGAACUGCUCAGUAACACGUGGACAACCUACCCUCAGAUCUGGGAUAAACCUGGGAAACUGGGUAUAAUACCGGAUAGGUCUUGGAUGCUGGAAUGCACCGAGGCCCAAAGCUCCGGCGUCUGAGGAUGGGUCUGCGGCCUAUCAGGGUAGUAGUGGGUGUAAAGUACCUACUAGCCUACGACGGGUACGGGUCGUGAGAGCGAGAGCCCGGAGAUGGAUUCUGAGACACGAAUCCAGGCCCUACGGGGUGCAGCAGGCGCGAAAACUUUACAAUGCCGGCAACGGCGAUAAGGGGACCUCGAGUGCCAGGAUACAAUCCUGGCUGUCGUAAUGCCUAAAAAGCAUUAUAUAGCAAGGGCCGGGCAAGACCGGUGCCAGCCGCCGCGGUAACACCGGCGGCUCGAGUGGUAACCGCUAUUAUUGGGUCUAAAGGGUCUGUAGCCGGCCUGGUAAGUCUUUUGGGAAAUCCGGCAGCUCAACUGUCGGGCUAUCAGAGGAUACUGCUAGGCUCGAGACCGGGAGAGGUGAGAGGUACUUCAUGGGUAGGGGUGAAAUCUUGUAAUCCUUGAAGGACCACCAGUGGCGAAGGCGUCUCACCAGAACGGAUCUGACGGCAAGGGACGAAAGCUAGGGGCACGAACCGGAUUAGAUACCCGGGUAGUCCUAGCCGUAAACGAUACUCGCUAGGUGUCGGCCACGGUGCGACCGUGGUCGGUGCCGUAGGGAAGCCGUGAAGCGAGCCACCUGGGAAGUACGGCCGCAAGGCUGAAACUUAAAGGAAUUGGCGGGGGAGCACUACAACGGGUGGAGCCUGCGGUUUAAUUGGAUUCAACGCCGGAAAUCUCACCGGGACCGACAGCGAUAUGAAGGCCAGGCUGAAGACCUUGCCGGAUUAGCUGAGAGGUGGUGCAUGGCCGUCGUCAGUUCGUACUGUGAAGCAUCCUGUUAAGUCAGGCAACGAGCGAGACCCA